UAUGUGAUCGUCUCUCGCAUAUCAAUAAGCGGAGGAAAAGAAACUAACAAGGAUUCCCCUAGUAACGGCGAGUGAAGCGGGAAGAGCUCAAAUUUGAAAUCUUAAAGGGUUUCCCUUUACGAAUUGUAGUUUAAAGAAGUGUUUUCUGUUGAGGUUUUGGUAAAAGUUCUUUGGAAUAGGACAUCAUAGAGGGUGAGAAUCCCGUAUUUGACCUUUACUUUCAACUUUGUGAUACACUUUCAAAGAGUCGGAUUGUUUGGGAAUGCAGUCCAAAAUGGGUGGUAAAUUUCAUCUAAAGCUAAAUACUGGCGAGAGACCGAUAGCGAACAAGUACCGUGAGGGAAAGAUGAAAAGAACUUUGAAAAGAGAGUUAAACAGUACGUGAAAUUGUCAAAAGGGAAGCGUUUGACACCAGUGUUGUUUUUCUGAAAAUCAAUUAAAGAACUGUUUAUGCUAAGUUGUUUAGACUUUAUCAGCUAUCUGUUUAGUUUUGAGCUUUUCUUUAAUGCACUUUUCAGUUAACAAGUCAACAUCAAUUUCUUUUGCUGUAAAAAAGCUUGAGGAAGGUGGCUUGAGAUUCGUCUUAAGUGUUUAUAGCCUCUUGCCUAUGCAGUCGGAGAGAUUGAGGUCUGCAGCGUAGAUCCUUCGGGGCUAAAUGCAUUUGUGCUAAGUUAUAGCAUUUUAUAGACAACUUGUUGACUAUGAUUUAGUCUUGUAGCUUACUCGCUUAUGUUAUUUUACCUACGCUUAGGAUGUUGAUAUGCAUGACUGAUAU
rnacentral:rRNA from 1 species